AGUUUAUAAAUAUACAACCUUUGACUGCUUGUUUUCAGUUGAACUUUUGCAAAGCUGAGGAGAUUUUGGCUGCGAUCACAUCAAGUCCAAAGAUGUUUAAACUUCUUUUUCACAGAAAGAAAUCACACAAACAAAACGUGGCAGAGAAGGAAAUUCCUUCUACGUCUCAUCAGAGCAUCCCGGAUGCUCCUGUUACUGAAAAUGGUCAAAAGAAGAAGAGAAAAUGGAGACACCUCUGCUGUUCCUCGCAAACUGACAGCGAUGCAGAGGCAGAGAGCAACACUGUGAAGACACAAAAAAAAGUGUCGCUGGUUUCUUUUUAAAUUCUGGAAGAAAUUACACAAACAAAACGUGGCAGAGAAGGAAAUUCCUUCUACGUCUCAUCAGAGCAUCCCGGAUGCUUCUGUUGCUGCCACACCAG